GAUAUUUUUUAAAUAUGAUUUAUAUCUUUCAGAAAUUCGUACAACAAGUAAACGACUGUCAAAAUGAUGAACACAAAUAUUUUUGAGAAAUACUAUGAGAAAGCAGUUUUGUCGCGGUUUCAAUUUAACUGCCAAACUAAUUAACCUCGGCGAAAGCAAUUCGCGCGGCACAAUCUGAAAUAAAAAUCUAUCGUCACCCACUUGAUUGUCGUUCCAAUGACUUGGCUGCAUCAACACUAGCGGCGGUACAUAUAGGAUUUGAUUGAUGUGGCAAUAUUGGAUUGCUUCGGCCCAACGACCACGCCCACCUGCGUGCACACCUAGCCGUAAAUGUCAGUUGCCAAAUAACAUGGGGUUCUGUAACGGAUUUACGACUGCCACAGGAAAACUUUAAUUUUCCAGCGUUUUCCCAAAUUACAUGGACAAGUGUCCUUGUUGAGGACUCGUGAUAGCCUAGAUCAUGAAUAUAAUGAGACCUUAUCCCACAAUAUCAAUAACUUGUUUAUGGGCACACAAAAUUGAAAUUCCCCCACUUAUUUAAUACACUUAAGCCAUCAACUUGGACUUGGCGCACAUGGCCACACGUACUAAAUCACUUACGGCCAAGUUCAAUCAGACGAGUUAAUAACUUCCGCAAUGUGGCAGCCAAAAUUAACCAUAAUUCACAUGCUACGGCCAACUAAACUGACCUAUUAGCCCGACUGGGCUUCGGACUUUUGGGUUCGGAAGCCGGUUAGUACGCUUGAAUGGAUGGGCCGUGCUCCACAGUGGGCCACGUUGAUCCGGGCCAAGAAUUCUCGGAGGAAGGGCGACUGUAAUAUGGUAAUUUUAGCGCUUGUCUCUCCACGGACUCACACGGCAAUCAGCACACACAAGCACAGGUACACAAAGAAUAAAAAUGCCGGAGCACAUGUCACAUUUGCCACAUGAGUUAACGUAGCUCAUUUAUCAUGGCCCCUUUCAGCGUUCCGCGUCCUGCGACCUGCGUCCUGCGAUGUCCUUUAUCCUUCUGUCUCCCUGAGGCGACGGUUCAAGGUGACCAAGGCAUUUGCCGGCCAAUCUGAGGUCGUGUUCUCACGUGCACUUGGAAAUCACAACGUACACUUUAGUCGGGUAAAAAGAUGUAGAAAUCACCGAAGCACUAUGUUUAGGUGUAAAAUAAAUUGUUAAAAAAUAGUUAUAUUUAAAAGCAACAAAUAAUCAGAUAUUAUUUGCAAACUAAUGUUGAAAAAUGGAAAAUGUUACAACAAAUUUAAUAAAAAU
rnacentral:sRNA from 13 species